AAUAAAAGUUGAAUUGCCUGAAUAGCCUAUUAAAAAAUUUCAAAAUAUAGUUAAAAUGUAAUUAAAAUAUAAAUAUUAUAAUUAUUUAGAUUAUAAAUAUUAAAAUCUAAAAUAUAGUUUAAAAAAAUAAAAAAUAAAAAUAAAAAAAAUGAUAUAUGUGUUAAAAUGUAUAGAUUGCAUGUGUGUUAAGAUAUAUUGAGCCAUUAGUUCAAAUGUCAACUGCAAGGUGAGAGAGAAGUAUAGCUCCAUUUGACAACUUGAUCUAAGAAUGUCAAGCUACAGGCACACCUCCAGCAUUCUUUGCACAACCUACCUGCCAUUUCCUUAAUCUUGGAAAUGGCUAACAAAACAUUAACCUCUCCAUGUUAAAAUGUGACGUCUAAGGAGAAAAACCAUCAGUUUAGACAUAUUCUGAAUAAACAGAAGAUCCAAAUCUCAGGUAAGUUGCCUCAUAACAUUUAUUUCACCGUAUUCUGAUGCAAACAUUCAUCUCUAUAUAUGUAUAUGUUUGUGAAAUACCUUUUUAUAAUGACUAAAGCAAUGCAGAGCCCAACAUGUGAUCUCUUUGGCACAUGUGAGCAGGAGGACAAUAUCAUAAUACAUUGUUCUAGGUUGCUAGCUUAAUGUUUAAUGAUCACACAUUUCCACCUGUCAUUCUGUUGUCAACCAUAACAAACCAACUGCCAGGGAAGGUAAAUUAGACUAUUAUGGGAAUCAGUAUAGUUAACCACACCUAGGCUACUUGCUAAACUGACGGAUAAGACUUAACAAUAUUGUCUAACGUAUCACAGGAACAUUUGAAUAGGAAGCAGCAAAAAAUGGGGUCUGCAACACACACAGUGUGUGUGUUCCUGUGUUUUUUGGUCUCAGGAUCAUGCUACACACUCCAGACCGUGGGCUCAUGCACGGUCAACAGAGAGAUGGCUGCAUUUGACUGCAGUGGAAAAAGACUUACAUCGGUACCAAAGCACAUCUGGAUGAACGUAACCGAACUGGACCUGUCUGAAAAUCUGUUAGAUUUAACCCACAGUGACAGCUUCAAGCGCCUGAACCUCUUCAGCCAUUUAGUCUCACUGAACCUAUCAGGCAACUACCUCCCCCUACUGUUAAAAGUCCAUCUCUACAGCCUUUCUUCUCUUAAGGAUAUUCUAAGGAUGUUAACCGUGGAGCCUUCCUUCGUAAACUAUUCACAGUGGGAUCAACACCUACAAACAAUACAAUUAAUGGUCAACACCUUUUUUUCCUCCUGUAAUCUAGUGUAGAUUAUUACCUGUGAUUACAUCUGAGACUGGCUAACCAGGAGGUUAGUGUGACCCUGCAAACUUUGAGGUGGGAUUCUCCACCCAGGGAGGCCCUGGGAUUCGUGCAGCUCCACCUCCCAGUGGCAUUGAGGAGGAUGACGAUGGGUUUAUUGAAGACAACUAUAUUCAAGCGGGUGAGAGUGAGAGAGCCACAAGAGCAGCAGUGCUGACUGAUGAUGAUGAGGAGGAGGAAGAGAUUGAAUGUAGUAUUGGCUAGCACUAUUACAUCUAACUUUGUUAAACCUUAUUUAUAAUAACUUGCAUUAAGUAGUUAUUAACAAACAUUCAAUACUUCAUAAUCAGUUAUCAAACUAUUCAUUGAUUAAUUAAUUAAAAAAAGAAUAUACAGUGGCCCUAUUAAGGAAUUUCAACACUUAAGCUUAAAAAAAAAAAAAAAAAAAAAAAAAAAAAAAAAAAAAACUAUGUCCAAAAAGUUUCUAGGACAACUUUUUUGAAAGCAUCUGAAAAUAUAUGAAUCAAAGUUGAAUGACAUUUGAAUGUACAAUAGGCCACACGAAAUAAUGAUCUGUUCAGCAUUUUAUACAAUGUUUGUUGACAUUAAUAAUAAUUUAUUAUAGAAUAAUAAGUUAUUAUAGAACUUUAUUUUAAAUUAUAAUAUUAUUAAUAAUUAAUUUUUAAGGAUUUUUCCUACCAGAAUGUGCAUUUACAUUUACUUUUAAUUGCAUUUUGUACCAUAUACUAUAUUUUGUGUUUUGUAUGUUGCACUUCAUUUUUUUUUUUGAGAAAAUGUUAUUAUUUCAUUGGCCACUGGGCGCCGCCUUUGUGUACUUUAUUACUUAGCCUAGAUUUAAAUAUUAAAAUGUUAUUAUUGAUAUUAUUAUAUAUUUUUGUUAUUGUUUAUAAAUGUUAUAUAAUAUAAAACAAAUUAAACAUUACAUGCAUCCACGUCAUCUUAAACGAAUGCCGUGUUAGUGUAUUUUUUUUUGUAUCUAACGUUACUAUUUAAUAAAGGAUUGUUACACUACA
ensembl:lncRNA